rnacentral:rRNA from 1 species
GAAUAUUGGACAAUGGGCGCAAGCCUGAUCCAGCCAUGCCGCGUGUGUGAAGAAGGCCUUCGGGUUGUAAAGCACUUUCAGCGAGGAGGAAGGGAUGUAUGUGAAUAGCAUGCAUUUUUGACGUUACUCGCAGAAGAAGCACCGGCUAACUCUGUGCCAGCAGCCGCGGUAAUACAGAGGGUGCAAGCGUUAAUCGGAAUUACUGGGCGUAAAGCGCACGUAGGCGGUUGGUUAAGUUGGAUGUGAAAGCCCCGGGCUCAACCUGGGAAUUGCAUUCAAAACUGGCCAACUAGAAUACGGGAGAGGGGGGUAGAAUUCCAAGUGUAGCGGUGAAAUGCGUAGAGAUUUGGAGGAAUACCAGUGGCGAAGGCGGCCCCCUGGCCCGAUAUUGACGCUGAGGUGCGAAAGCGUGGGGAGCAAACAGG